rnacentral:rRNA from 1 species
UGUGAGCUCGAUGAGUAGGGCGGGACACGUGGUAUCCUGUCUGAAUAUGGGGGGACCAUCCUCCAAGGCUAAAUACUCCUGACUGACCGAUAGUGAACCAGUACCGUGAGGGAAAGGCGAAAAGAACCCCGGCGAGGGGAGUGAAAAAGAACCUGAAACCGUGUACGUACAAGCAGUGGGAGCCUCUUUUAUGGGGUGACUGCGUACCUUUUGUAUAAUGGGUCAGCGACUUAUAUUCUGUAGCAAGGUUAACCGAAUAGGGGAGCCGAAGGGAAACCGAGUCUUAACUGGGCGUUAAGUUGCAGGGUAUAGACCCGAAACCCGGUGAUCUAGCCAUGGGCAGGUUGAAGGUUGGGUAACACUAACUGGAGGACCGAACCGACUAAUGUUGAAAAAUUAGCGGAUGACUUGUGGCUGGGGGUGAAAGGCCAAUCAAACCGGGAGAUAGCUGGUUCUCCCCGAAAGCUAUUUAGGUAGCGCCUCGUGAAUUCAUCUCCGGGGGUAGAGCACUGUUUCGGCAAGGGGGUCAUCCCGACUUACCAACCCGAUGCAAACUGCGAAUACCGGAGAAUGUUAUCACGGGAGACACACGGCGGGUGCUAACGUCCGUCGUGAAGAGGGAAACAACCCAGACCGCCAGCUAAGGUCCCAAAGUCAUGGUUAAGUGGGAAACGAUGUGGGAAGGCCCAGACAGCCAGGAUGUUGGCUUAGAAGCAGCCAUCAUUUAAAGAAAGCGUAAUAGCUCACUGGUCGAGUCGGCCUGCGCGGAAGAUGUAACGGGGCUAAACCAUGCACCGAAGCUGCGGCAGCGACACUGUGUGUUGUUGGGUAGGGGAGCGUUCUGUAAGCCUGUGAAGGUGUACUGUGAGGUAUGCUGGAGGUAUCAGAAGUGCGAAUGCUGACAUAAGUAACGAUAAAGCGGGUGAAAAGCCCGCUCGCCGGAAGACCAAGGGUUCCUGUCCAACGUUAAUCGGGGCAGGGUGAGUCGACCCCUAAGGCGAGGCCGAAAGGCGUAGUCGAUGGGAAACAGGUUAAUAUUCCUGUACUUGGUGUUACUGCGAAGGGGGGACGGAGAAGGCUAUGUUGGCCGGGCGACGGUUGUCCCGGUUUAAGCGUGUAGGCUGGUUUUCCAGGCAAAUCCGGAAAAUCAAGGCUGAGGCGUGAUGACGAGGCACUACGGUGCUGAAGCAACAAAUGCCCUGCUUCCAGGAAAAGCCUCUAAGCAUCAGGUAACAUCAAAUCGUACCCCAAACCGACACAGGUGGUCAGGUAGAGAAUACCAAGGCGCUUGAGAGAACUCGGGUGAAGGAACUAGGCAAAAUGGUGCCGUAACUUCGGGAGAAGGCACGCUGAUAUGUAGGUGAAG